rnacentral:lncRNA from 1 species
AAAGCUACAAUCCCACAUAUUACCAAUGAAGUUCAGAAACCCUCCAGUCCUGCUUUUCAUUCUCUCCGUCCUUUCACUCUCGAUACCAUGGACGACUGCAGGAACAGUUUCCAUUGAUGGCUUUCUCCAAUGCCUCACAAAAUAUCCUCACCCUGCCCACACAAUCCAAGAAUCAAUUUACACCCCUCAAAAUAGCUCAUUUCAAUCUGUUUUGGUAGCACAUAUCAAUAACCGCAGAUAUUCUACAGCUGCAACUCCAAAACCUUUGGCCAUAAUAGCAGCCAAGAAUGAGUCCCACGUCCAGGCAACUGUGCUUUGUGCCAAACAUCAUGGGUUGCAAAUUAAAAUCCGAAGUGGUGGCCAUGAUUUCGAGGGUUUAUCUUACACGUCGGAUGUGCCCUUUGUCAUUCUCGACAUGUUUAACAUUAACUCCAUUGAUGUUAAUGUUGCUGAUAAGAGCGCUUGGGUUCACUCUGGAGCUACUCUUGGAGAAGUUUAUUAUGCAAUUGGUACAAAAACCAACGUUUACGGCUUUCCUGCUGGGAUUUGUCCAACAGUUGGUGCUGGUGGCCAUUUUAGUGGCGGCGGCUAUGGGUUUUUGAUGAGAAAGUAUGGGCUUAGCGUCGAUAAUAUCGUGGAUGCUAGGCUAGUUACUGCCAAUGGUAGAAUCCUUGAUAGAAAGUCAAUGGGAGAGGACCUUUUCUGGGCCAUCAGAGGAGGUGGUGGAGCUAGCUUCGGAGUUAUUCUUUCAUGGAAGCUCAAGCUGGUUCCAGUUCCACCCAAAGUGACUGUGUUCAACCUUACAAAGACCAUAGAGGAAGGUGUUACAGAUUUGGUUUACAAGUGGCAAACUCUUGCACCCCAGCUUCCCAAAGAUGUCUUCCUCAGAGCACAGCCACAAGUGAAGAAUAUUGAUACCAAGGGAAACAAGACUGUGGGUGUAUCAUUCAUCGGCCAUUUCUUGGGAACAAGUGACAAGGUUGUGGCAUUGUUGAAUGAGAGUUUCCCUGAACUGGGCUUACAACGAAAAGACUGCUAUGAAGUGAGCUGGGUGGAAUCCACUGUAUUUUGGGCUGAAAGUCCUAUUGGAACCCCCAUAGAAAUUCUUCUCAGCAAGCCAACUGAACCAGAGACCUUCUACAAAGGUAAGUCAGACUAUGUGAAGGAACCAAUUCCAAAACAUGUUUUUGAUUCCAUAUGGAAGAAGAUGAUUGAGAUAGAGCACAUUUGGCUGGAUUGGAACCCUUAUGGUGGAAGAAUGAGUGAGAUUUCUGAGUCAGCAACUCCAUACCCUCACAGGGCCGGAAACCUAUUUUUUGCUCUAUACUAUUCGUCGUGGUAUGACGAAGGGAUUGAGGCCACCAACAAGUACGUUAGUUUAACAAGAGAGUUGUAUGACAUGAUGACACCAUAUGUCUCCAAGAGUCCAAGAGAGGCGUUCCAAAACUACAGGGACCUCGACAUAGGUGCGAACCAGGAUAAUAAGACUGACUUUGAAACUGCUACACUUUAUGGAAGGAAGUACUUCAAAGGUAAUUUUGAUAGAUUGGUGCGUGUGAAAACCAUGGUCGAUCCUCUUAAUUUUUUCAAGCAUAAGCAAAGUAUCCCCCCUCUUUAGAGAGAGAUGUAUACUAUGUAUAUGUGAUGUUCAAAAAGAAUAAAUUCCACCUCUGAGAGAGAGAGAGAGAGAGAGAGAGAGAGAGGGAGAGAGAUAUAGAAUAAGUGGAAGGGAGAGAGAUAUAGAAUAAGUGGAAGAAGGUUAACAUAAAUCAUCUUAUGAGCUGUUUGUCAUGCUUGAUGAUGUUAUUGAUGUUACCAAAAUAUUGAUUUUAUUUGUUGUAAAAUAAAGCUUGCAGUCUACAAUGACGAUCUCUUGUAAGUUGUAACCUCUACUAUAUAUGUGUUCUUUGUAAACCCUAAUAUAAUCAACAAGUCCUUCACAUAGAUACAAAUGACUCCUUUUGGUACAAUUUUUUUUUUUCGAAACCUCCUUUUGGUACAUUAACUCAUAAAGGGAUUGAGCUUUACGAAAGUUUUCAAAUCAUGUUCACACAAUGAACCUUAUCUACAAAAGAAAUCAAUUGUAGGCUGGCACACCCUCAAACUCUCUCCCUGUACGUCUAAGAAAUGAAGAAAUUAUGGACCACUUUUUCUACACCUCUCUAUCUAAUGUUCAUGAAUCAUCUGUUGGGAUUUCUUAUUCUUCAUUUCUUCUUUUCCUUUUCAUUCCUAAGCACAAAUUCAAGCUUUGAUUAUUUUUUUGCUUCACAAAGGCCGUGUAUGGUUGUGGGGAGACCAUUAUUAUGUAUAGGUUAGGUGCCUGUUGAUGAAUUAAAUGGGUACAAAAAUAAAAAAAAAUAAAAGCAAAGCAGCAAUCCACCCGCACAAAGCAUAUUAUAUAUAAUCAAAUUAAACGAGUAUAGAUGCAUAUUAAAAACAGCAUAUUACUAAGUUCUUUCAUUUAUUGUCAGUGAGGUAUAACUCAGUUGGUUGAGCUCUUCUGUCUUCAUAUAUGUAGGCAGAGCUUUGAAACCUCCAAACACCCAAUAAAUAUUUAUGUAAACACACCUUCCCCAAUCGCUUGUACUCAAAAGAAAAAUAAACUUUCAUUUAUCGAAGCUAGAAUGUAGGAAAAAUAAAUUAUCGAAGGCACUGUGAUUGAAAGAAUUGAAAGCUAAUAUUUAAAAACUAAAAAGAAACUAUUUAUUCUGGAAAUAGCAGUGUGCCUAAUAACUUUCAAUAUUCAUACCUAAUUUUUUGAAAGAUAUCUAAAAGUCAACAAACUAAAACUUAAAAUUGUUUUCUUCCUCAACAGUUUCACCAACCCUGUUAGUUUGUGACUUUGAUGUAAUGUUGAAUAUUAUUUUUAGGAUACUACGUACAUAUUUAGAAAUUAGAAUGGUGGAUACAAUAUUGGCUUAUUAUGUGUUUUAAAUUGUUAUAAGAUUGUUAGGUUGAUUGGCUUCAUAAGAUUAUUAUGUGCGUUGAUGUAAUAAUAAGAAAUAUUUGACGUGUUUGUUUCAAUUUGAAUUAUAAUUGAUGUGUUUCAUUUCACAUGAUGGUUAGAUGUGAAAAGUGUGUAAAUGAAAGUUAUAGAAAAAAUAAAAUACUAAAUGGGCCGAAUCACUAAAUACCUAUAUAUAAAAUGUAUGCACACAAUCUUCUCAAAUAAUAUAUUUGAGGGACAUUCUUUGGAGCCCACUAUGAAUUUUAUUUCAAUGAUCCACAUUAUCUUAUUUUCAAGUCUUCACUCAUAGAUUAUCUUUACAAAAAAUUAGGUAAAUUGGAAACCGUUAAGACGUCUAGUUAUGACCACCAAAAUCAAAGAACAAUGGUGCUUCAAAAAAACACUAAAAUAAAAAUCAUUCAAUUGAGUGGUCAAAUGAAUUCAGAUUCAAGUGCUUUUUUGUAGAGAUGAUCUUUGAAUGAGUAUCUACAAAAUAGAAGGUUCGAAUUAGUGAAAUGCAAUCCGAAGUAGUCCCUACAAGGGGUGUCCCUCAAUGGAAGCUCUUUGUGUGUGUAUAUAUAUAUAUAUAUAGUCCAUUCCAUUGAGGAAAACCCUUUAGGGUACCCUACGAAUAUUUUUUCAACGAUCCAAGCUAUUUUUCAAGUCUUCAUUCAUAAAUAAUCCUUGCAAAAAAUCAGAAAAAUUGAAAAUCAUUAAGGCAUCUAAUUGAGACCAACAAAAUCAAUGAACACGGUGCUUUAAUAAUUUAAUUGAAUGGUCAAAUGAUAUCGGAUUUAAGCAUUUUUUAUAAAGAUGAUCUUUGGAUUAAUAUCUACAAACUAGAUGGUUUGGAUUAGUGAAAUACAAUGCAUAGUGGGCCUUACACGGGUGUUCUUCAAAUAAGCUUAUUUGAGGAAUCCCUCAAUGAAAGCUCUCUUUGUAUAUAAAUAUUAUUGAUCUUAGGCUUAAAUCACCAAAUACAUUGAACCAAACAAACAACCCAACAGUUUGUUUAAUUUCAUUAAGCUUCUCCUCCCAAUUUAGGUCAAACCAUAGCCUUCACUGAUUGAUUAAUUUGAAAGAGGUUUUGAAGGCAAAGCGAUCCAAACAUGAUCGGGUCCACCCAUAUAUAACGUGAUCCCAUUCCAUUUAAUUAAAAUCAACUAUAUGAGAGCAAUGUAUCAAUAAAAUCCCUACAUAUAAAAUCAUUGAUACCACAUGGCCAACAUCAAUAAAAUCCCUACGUCCUUCAUGCACACUCCUUUAUUUCCGUCAGUUUUUCUAAAUAAUAAACCAGGCUUUCCAUAUGGUGAGUUUAAUAAUAGACCAGGUUUUCCACAAUCCCAUCUAUGUUUAUGGAGUUUUGGAUCAAAUUUGUGACAGUCCGUCGAGUGCAGAACACCCAAUAUUAUAGAUUUUGAGAGAGCGCUUCGCAAUCUGGGCGUGCUCCUGCUAUAUAAUGUUGUGAACUUUUCCAAUAUUAUAGAUUUAUUGUAGAUCUUUUUAUAUAUUAGAAAUGUCCAUCUUUUUGACAAAUUAAUGCCAUAAGCAAAAGGGUCAUGUAUAGCAAGCUGUCUGGGUAGAAACUUGAAACUUUAGAAUAACUCAUCAUAUGGAAAGCCUGGUCAUAUGCAAUGCAAUACUCGAAGCAGCAAAGUUGAUAUUAAUAAAUUGCAAGGGGAUUGCGUACGUAAGAAAACAAAGAAAAAGUCCAAACUUGGAUGCUCUGGCUUCAUUAUAAAUACUGCCCCAAGUCAGUUAUCUUAUCACACAGCCAAAACUCAAGGCAAGAAAGCCAUAAGCCUCACAAGUUACGUACCAAUGAAGUUCCGAAACCCUAAUGUACUUCUUUUCAUUCUCUCAGUCCUUUCAAUCUCAGUAUCAUGGGCAACUUCAGCAACAGCUGACUUUCAUGGCUUUCUCCAAUGCCUUACCAAACGUUCUCACUCUGCUCACCCAAUCCAGGAAACAAUUUACACCCCUCAAAAUGCCUCCUUUCAAUCUGUUUUGGUAUUACAUAUCAACAACCGCAGAUUUUCUACACCAACAACUCCAAAACCUUUGGCCAUAAUAGCAGCCAAGAAUG